rnacentral:rRNA from 1 species
GUGUGCGUGGAGCCGACCUUGAAAUACCACCCUUACUGUAUUGGUUUACUAACGAUGCUGAGGGCAUUGGACAUUGCCAGGUGGGCAGUUUGACUGGGGCGGUCGCCUCCUAAAGAGUAACGGAGGCUUACCAAGGUUCCCUCUGGCUGGUUGGUAAUCAGCCUAAGAGUAUAAAGGCAUAAGGGAGCUUGACUGCGAGACUGACGGGUCGAGCAGGUGGGAAACCAGGUCUUAGUGAUCCGGCGGUCCUGAAUGGAAGGGCCGUUGCUCAAAGGAUAAAAGGUACUCCGGGGAUAACAGGCUGAUACCGCCCAAGAGUUCAUAUCGACGGCGGUGUUUGGCACCUCGAUGUCGGCUCAACUCAUCCUGGGGCUGAAGAAGGUCCCAAGGGUUCGGCUGUUCGCCGAUUAAAGAGUUACGCGAGCUGGGUUCAGAACGUCGUGAGACAGUUCGGUCCCUAUCCUUCGUGGGCGCAGGAAAUUUGAGGAGAUCCGCAUCUAGUACGAGAGGACCGGUGUGGACGGACCUCUGGUGUACCGGUUGUGAUGCCCAUUGCAUUGCCGGGUAGCCAUGUUCGGACGGGAUAACCGCUGAAAGCAUCUAAGCGGGAAGCCUACUCCAAGAUGAGAUUUCCCAUGAGACCGGUGG